CUGCGAUGAGACGUCAACAACCUGACCUUCAUUAAGUCCUGAAACCAGGUAGAACAACUCCCACUCAUCGUCAACACAACUGGGGACGUCUUCUGUGCCAUUUCUUUGCGACUUUUUGGACACUAACACCUGGUUGGGAGACUACCUUGGAAGGGAUAUCAUCUAAAAUUUAAUCCGAGUUCUUAAAGUGAAAGUAGUUUUCCACCAGAGAAGAGAGAGAGGCCUUCCAGUCGGGGGACAGCGUGUGCGAAUUCACAGAGGAAGGAAACAGCUGACUCUGACGCAGUCCAUAAAAUAAUGAUGUGUCUUACAUACGUGGCAUUUUGGACCUGAGGAAAUACAGCCAUGCUUACCCAGUAUGAGGCACUGUCCAUUUCAAUCUCACAACGACCCUGUGAGGGACCUUGGGCCAAUCACAUUCUGAGCCACCUGUGUAACAAGGGCAAUGGCACCCACCUAAGGUGGUUGUGAGGAUUCAUCUCAAAUGAAUGAGAUGCUGCACGUAAAGCAUGGGACCCGGCACACAACAAGAACUCGAUAAAGUCUGAACAACAAAACAAUGAAAGAUAUUCAAAGUAAGGUCCCAAGGCUGGCCUUCCUG